CUCCACCCCACAACUGCCUCACAAGCAUCCCAGAGUCCAGUCAGCAGACAGCAGAAGAGACUGUCAGCAGACCACCUUGGAGGGGAUGCUUGGAGCUGCCUAACGUGUGAUUCAAAGAUGAAUUCCAUGUGUUUGGAGAAGAAGCCCUAGCCUCAACACAAAGGUUGGCCACAUUCCAGCCAAGGUAGCACGGAGUGAAGGCCCGUGGAGGGAGAGCUGGGCUUUUCUGAACUACUUCAGUACACCUUGCUGUGCCUUGGCCUGCCGUGUUUCAUCCCCAUGGCUGUCCUCAGUGAUGUGCAUGGUCACUGCUCCCUUCACCACUGAGAAGACGGGCACAGGACAGUCAGGGGAUGUGUCCAAGGUCCCACAGCAGGAAGGGCUGGAGCCAGAAUGUGGUCUGAGAGGCUGGAUAUACAAAGAGACAAUGGCAUGACCAUCUGUACAAAUGGAACUAUGGCCCACAACCUGCAGCAGCCAGCCCAGGAAGCCAACCCGUCACCUGCAGCAGCCAGGAUGGAUGCUGGCCUGCCCUCAGGUGCCCUUGUUGGAGAACAUGGGGGGCCAAAUUCCAAACGUGGCAAGAGAUAACAAAUGACUUGUCUGGUGGCUGAACCCUGAGCUGGGAGCACUGCCUGGAGAAAACUCUGAUACUCAAGUCUAGUUUUAUAUGGCUCCAAACGCCUCCACCAUGAGCUCAAGGCAGUGAGACUGACUGAAAAACCCUCUCUAUUACAGACCACAACAUUGAACCCAACAUCCCCCUAAGUAGGUUGUACUCACAUCAUUGGUCUUAUGGGGAAAUUUUAAGACCUCCCACUUGUAAGGUUUUAUAGCCCUCUAUGGAAUAUUGAAGAAAGAGUAAAAUGCAUCCAAAAAAAAAAAAAAACACUAAACUGGAUAAAUUCUAAGGCCUCUUCAGGUCUUAAGAUGGCCAUUUUCUAGGUCCUCUUGCUGCAGCAGUGAAAUCCACAAACACGGACAAGUCAGUCAGUUACGUGCCUUUCAGAGAAAACUUCUGACUUAGGAAUUCCAGCUAUUUGGCCCAACCCAUAUUAGAUUGUGUUAUAAAGACAUGGUAAAUUACAUCACGAAGGGAAGAGCAGAGGAAACAUAAUAUUCCUUCAAGACCCAUCAGCUCAGAUGUUAGCAGAACACCCCUAAGGAGGAAAACAAGAAAUUUUGGGUUUGAACUUGGUACUUCCCAGCAGCCCUGGGAGUGGGGUCAGAAGCCCUGCUGGGGGCCAAAGAACUCUGAGGAUCAAAGAUGUUGAGCAUCACCUUAGAGGCCAAAGAUCAGAACAGUGGAGGUGGCCUUUGAAGCCCAACCUGUCUUUCACCAGAGAGUGAGAACGGCCUCUAUUUCCAGGAAGCUCACUGCAGCAAUAAUCAUGAUGCUCUGAGCCUGACAAGCAAAAGAAAACUUCUUUAGGAGGAUAAAAGGGAGAUGAAGAAACAGAAAACACAUCAGCUCUCCAUCCAGAUUACAGAAAGCAGAAAACAUCCUGAAGUGAAUAACAUAGGAAUCGCUCUUUUUCCCCCCUGAGAUAGCAGGUUACUUAUGAGAAACAAGCUUGAAAUCUCUGCACCUGGACCAGCUUCCAGAGGCUUUUGUCCUGACCAGCUGGCUUUGGGGAAGUAAAGGAAACCAGAGAAGAAGAGGCUGAAAGAAUUGGUUUCCACCGUGACCUUUGAACCCUCGGGCGAGUUGUCAGCCUCACUGAGGAUGAGUGUACUCCAUAUCAAGUGAGGUCACUUUACUCGCAAGCUUGUUGUGAGGACUGAAUGAAACCUUUUCUUUUUUCUUGGAGUUUCAGAGCAACGUCCCUGAGCCCAGCCCCACACUGGCUUGAGCCCUGUCGUCGGUCAAGACACGGUGCUUUCUCCCCUCCCCUCUGCACUCCAGCUUACUCUGCAGUCAGGAGGUGGCACCACGAUCCCCUUUAAGACUUUGCCACUUGGGCCAGCUGCGCCCCUGUGAAAUUCCCUGUUUCUAUUGCAGGCCACAAGGACGAGCUGAGAAAUGGCUUCCAGUCACCAUCUAGAUUAGAAAGCCUAUAUUUCAAAUAUAGAUAUAUCAAUUAUGCCUGUAAAAAGACAUUAAAUCCCACAGGGCUGUAAUUCCUAGACUCUACGAAUUUCAUCUUGCACCAAAUUUUAUUAUUUCAUUUAUAAUUCGGAUUCUUCAAAUCUAAGAGUGCCUGGCUCAAAAUUAAAAUACCUACAACUAUGCCAAAACUGGACUCUUUAAUUGCCUUACUGGAACCAGUAGCUGAUUCAAAGCAAAACGAAACAAAAUUCCUCCUUUCUCUGAUUUAGUGAAUCAAUGAUCUAACUGAACUCAUUUUUGGACUGAGUUUGCGGCACUUGCAGCCCUGAGGGACACAUUCCCCCACCACACUGAGCCUGCACUCCCAUCAAUGCAAAUGAACAUUUUGCUUAUUCAGAUUGGGGGGGUGAAGGAAGUCACAAAAGGGUUAAUACAUAUGGCAUUUCAUUGUAAUAUGUACUCACUACUAACUAAAUUAAAAGAGAUGUGAGUUAUUAAAAACUCCAUCUUAAGAAAGUAACAGAAAUCAGAGUUCAGAUUCGUUGUUACUGAGUUUCCAACCAACACCUGUGAGUUAAACCUACGGCCACCCUGAAAACGGUUCAUAUUUUCAAAAGCUUCAUCGAAGAUGAGCUGCACUAAAGAUUCAUAUUACAUAUCAUGCUGCAAUAAGAAAAUCAAAUAAGGCCUUUCCAUAUUCAAUAAUAAAGUUUAAAGAAAAGUAAUAUUUGUUUAGCCAGUUAGCCAGAAAUUAGAUGUAUCAGAAUACAUCAUUCUUUGAGCAUUUUAGAAAAAUCAGGGUAUUUCUACAUUGUGUUUUUCUUUGUAAGCCCUCAAAAAAUAUAGAGAAUAUUCUUGAAAUUAUAGUGUUUGUCUUCUGGAACAAAAAAUACUAAUCAAGGAAAUCUACAAAUUUAAUGGUUUAUUGAGUUUCCACAGGAAACACUGUGUGAGGAGGCUGAGGCUUAGAAGUUCA
rnacentral:lncRNA from 10 species